UGGUACCCACCUUGCGUCCUGAGCUGCCUGGACGUCUUUAGCCACCUGAAAACCUGAACUGGAGUAAUGUGCAUUUCUGAUGAUUGACAGCAAGGAGUACAUAGUCUGCACCAAAAGAACACCUCCCCAUUGUUGCAGAAACCUCCUAUGAUCAUGCACUGGAAAAUCAAAUUGUGGAAGUUUAUGGAAAGAACAUAGGACAUAUUUUAACAGAGGUCUACAGGAAGGGAAAUCAUUAGUAUCUCUAUUGAAAGGCCCACGUGAUUAAGAGCUGAGGUAUCUGAGCAACAGCCAGCAAGGAACUGAGGCCUCCUGCCAAAAGCCUUGCCAUGUAAGGAUAAAAUGAGAAGGCAAUUGUCUCCAGACACAGGAUCUGCCAGUGUUUUGAAGUUGGAAUUCCCAGCUUCUAAAAUUUUGAGAAAUAAAUAUUUGUCUUCUAAGUCUUCCAGUCUAUGUUAUUCUUACUCUAGCAGCCCAUAAUUACUAAGACAUAUUGUGUGAAGAUACCAAUAUUUUAUUUAUCCAUUUUUGUUAUCAGUGGACAUCAGGUUUGAUUCUAAGUUUUGUUGUUAAAAUCAACGCUGCUAUGAACAUUCUUAUACGUGCCUUUUGGUCGACUUCUGAAACAUUUUGUCAUGCAUAUGAAUACAGAGUAAUUUUUAGGUCAUAGCGUAUGGGGUGCUCAACUUUAGAAGACAAUGCUGAAUUUUGUACCAGAAAGUUGUGUCAGUUGGCACUUUCAUUGCCAAAAAUAGGAGAGGUCAGUGGUGCAAUACUUCUCAAGUAUUUGAUGUUGUCUGAUUUUUUUUUUUUUUUUUUUGCUACUCCAAGGAGUGUAAAAUGAAAUUUCAUUGUUGUCAAACAUUGCUCUCACUAAUCAUGAAAGUGAUGAGACUGAGAAUCUCUUUUUAUGGUGAUCUUUUCUUUCCUGCUGGGGAAUGACUGCAUAUAUUUGCUAACUUUUCUACAGGGUUUCAUGGUAGAUUGUUUUAGAAAUGACCCCAGUCGUUUGUCUCAUCCCAAAGGUCUGAUAUCAAUUUUACCCUCAAGAGUUAGGGUCUGUAUUUCCUCCCAUUGACUUUGAACUGACCCUUGACUUGAUUUGACAAAUAGAAUGAGACAGAAGCAAUGCUGUGUGACUUUGGGGCCCAGACUUAGAAAGCUCUUAGUACUUCUGUUUUCACUUUUCCAAAGCCUGAGCCAUUAGUUAAAGAAGCCUGACUAACAAGCUAGAUGAAGAAGUCACAUGGAGAUAAGACCUGAAAGAUGUGACUACAUGUUCUCACUUAUAAGUGGGGGCUAAAUAAUAAUAACUCAUUAACAGAAAGAAGGAAACAACAGAUAUUGGGGUCUACUUGAGCGGGAGGGUGGCGGGUGAGGAGCAGAAAAGGUAACUAUUGGCUACUGGGCUUAAUACCUGGAUGAUGAAAUAAUGUUUACAACAACCCCUGUGACAUGUGUUUACCUAUGUAAAAAACCUUCACA
rnacentral:lncRNA from 1 species